GACGAACGCUGGCGGCGUGCUUAACACAUGCCAGUCGAACGGAAAGGCCCUGCUUUUGUGGGGUGCUCGAGUGGCGAACGGGUGAGUAACACGUGAGUAACCUGCCCUGGACUUUGGGAUAACUUCAGGAAACUGGGGCUAAUACCGGAUAGGAGCUCCUGCUGCAUGGUGGGGGUUGGAAAUUUUCGGCGGUUGGGGAUGGACUCGCGGCUUAUCAGCUUGUUGGUGGGGUAGUGGCUUACCAAGGCUUUGACGGGUAGCCGGCCUGAGAGGGUGACCGGCCACAUUGGGACUGAGAUACGGCCCAGACUCCUACGGGAGGCAGCAGUGGGGAAUAUUGCACAAUGGGCGGAAGCCUGAUGCAGCAACGCCGCGUGCGGGAUGACGGCCUUCGGGUUGUAAACCGCUUUCGCCUGUGACGAAGCGUGAGUGACGGUAAUGGGUAAAGAAGCACCGGCUAACUACGUG
rnacentral:rRNA from 1 species